UCCGGCUUAUCACCGGCGGUUUCUUUAGAGUGCCCAACUAAAUGAUGGCAACUAAAGACGAGGGUUGCGCUCGUUGCGGGACUUAACCCAACAUCUCACGACACGAGCUGACGACAGCCAUGCAGCACCUGUCUCCGGUCCAGCCGAACUGAAAAGGUCCAUCUCUGGUCCUCGCAACCGGGAUGUCAAGGCCAGGUAAGGUUCU
rnacentral:misc_RNA from 1 species